rnacentral:rRNA from 1 species
UACGUAGGAGGCGAGCGUUGUCCGGAGUUACUGGGCGUAAAGGGUGCGCAGGCGGCGUCACGCGUGGCUAGAUGAAAUCUCCUGGCUUACCUGGGAGGUGGUAGCCAGACGGUGGCGCUUGAGGGUCGGAAAGGGGCGUGGAAUUCCGGGUGGAGCGGUGAAAUGCGUAGAGAUCCGGAGGAACACCGACGGCGUAGGCAGCGCCCUGGACGACACCUGACGCUGGAGGCACGAAAGCUGGGGAGCGAACAGGAUU